CCAAACAAACUGAAGAUUGUACCUGCAGGUGAAAUACAGGAGUCUGUGCUCCUUAUCAGUUUCUAUUUCUCAAGUGUGACAUCACAACAUCCGGAAGGGAGGAGGAGGAUACUUUUCUGUUAGAGGUUAAAUAGUCACAGCUGAACAACUAUACUUGAGAGUUGAGACAUUCGAGAAUCACAGUUUGGUUUCUAAAGACUAAAUUGUUCGUACAUAUCACUUCCUUCAAAGCAGCGAUGGCAGGCAAACCAGAAUUCCUAAAGCUCAUCGAGCAGCUGCAGCAGUUAAGUCUGGAUGUAGAGCAGAUGGAUGUGGAGGUAUGCUGUCUGUCUAGCUUUCUUUUAAACUGUCAUUUUCUAAAUUGAAAUAAAUAAAUGCCAUAUUAUGAAAUGAAAUUCCUGUUUGUUUUAACCAUCUCUCUCUCUCUCUCUCUCUCUCUCUCACUCACUCACUAUCUCAUCAUGAGUGGGCUUCCUCUUCCUUUUCUCUCCUUCCGUUCUUUCAAUCUCUCUCUCUCCCUCUCUUCCCUAACUCUCCUUCCCUUACCCCCCCUUACCCCCCCCCCCCACCAAAACAUCCAUUGAACUGUACUGAGCUUGAACUCAAGUCACAAAUAUCUGAAAGAAAACAUGAAUUCACUCUGCAGCGAUCGUGGUUGACUGAAGUGGGGUCCCUUACUUUCCCCUUCCUCCCAUUCACACUACUCUAGUGUUCUGACUCUUUUAUACCUCCACUGAGGAGAUUCAGAGAUUCGCAGUAUGCUGCAGCAGCUAAGCAAGCCUGAACAGGCCUUUGAUGAACCAUCCAUGUGGUGAAAAAGAAAAAAGCAACAAUGACUAAGUGGACUCUUUCUUUUAUUUUUCUAUAUUAUAAACUUAAUAAAUUGUUAACUUGCUUUUUAAAACUAUAUAUAUAUAUAUAUAUAAUCACUUUUUUUUAUACUCACAUUAUGUACUUGUUUACUCAGAUGCCACAUGUUGACAUCUGUGAUAUCAGUGAACUUCUCCAGAGGAUAAAUCUGGGAGAAGAAAAUAUGGAUUUGGAUGUGGAAGUGGAUGUAGAGGAGAUGGAUGUGGAAGUGGAUGUAGAGGAGAUGGAUAUCGAUGUCACUAUGGAGAAGGUGGACGAGGUAAACAGGGUCUACUCUUUGCAUAGUAU